UAGGGAAUCUUCCGCAAUGGGCGAAAGCCUGACGGAGCAACGCCGCGUGAGUGAUGAAGGUCUUCGGCUCGUAAAACUCUGUUAUUAGGGAAGAACAAAUGUGUAAGUAACUAUGCACGUCUUGACGGUACCUAAUCAGAAAGCCACGGCUAACUACGUGCCAGCAGCCGCGGUAAUACGUAGGUGGCAAGCGUUAUCCGGAAUUAUUGGGCGUAAAGCGCGCGUAGGCGGUUUUUUAAGUCUGAUGUUAAAGCCCACGGCUCAACCGUUGAGGGUCACUGGGAACUGGAAAACUUGAGUGCAGAAGAGGAAAGUGGAAUUCCAUGUGUAGCGGUGAAAUGCGCAGAGUUAUGGAGGAACACCAGUGGCGAAGGCGACUUUCUGGUCUGUAACUGAAGCAGAUGUGCGAAAGCGUGGGGAUCAAACAGG
rnacentral:rRNA from 1 species